UGGGGAAUAUUGGACAAUGGGCGAAAGCCUGAUCCAGCAAUGCCGCGUGAGUGAUGAAGGCCUUAGGGUUGUAAAGCUCUUUUACCCGGGAAGAUAAUGACGGUAUCCGGAGAAGAAGCCCCGGCUAACUUCGUGCCAGCAGCCGCGGUAAUACGGGGGGGGUAAGCGUUGUUCGGAAUUACUGGGCGUAAAGGGCUCGUAGGCGGCCAACUAAGUCAUACGUGAAAUCCCUCAGCUUAACUGGGGAACUGCGUGAGAUACUGGAUGGCUUGGAUUUGGGAGAGGGAUGCGGAAUUCCAGGUGUAGCGGUGAAAUGCGUAGAUAUCUGGAGGAACACCGGUGGCGAAGGCGGCAUCCUGGACCAAUAUUGACGCUGAGGCGCGAAAGCGUGGGGAGCAAA
rnacentral:rRNA from 1 species